rnacentral:rRNA from 1 species
CGGUGGCGAUAGCUAAGAGGUACACCUGUUCCCAUCCCGAACACAGAAGUUAAGCUCUUAUACGCCGAAAGUACUUGGCUGGUGACGGCCCGGGAGGAUAGGUAGCUGCCGGUA